GACGAACGCUGGCGGCGUGCUUAACACAUGCAAGUCGAACGGUAAGGCCCUUCGGGGUACACGAGUGGCGAACGGGUGAGUAACACGUGGGUGAUCUGCCCUGCACUUUGGGAUAAGCCUGGGAAACUGGGUCUAAUACCGGAUAGGACCAUGGCAUGCAUGUGCUGUGGUGGAAAGCUUUUGCGGUGUGGGAUGGGCCCGCGGCCUAUCAGCUUGUUGGUGGGGUGAUGGCCUACCAAGGCGACGACGGGUAGCCGGCCUGAGAGGGUGUCCGGCCAAACUGGGACUGAGAUACGGCCCAGACUCCUACGGGAGGCAGCAGUGGGGAAUAUUGCACAAUGGGCGCAAGCCUGAUGCAGCGACGCCGCGUGGGGGAUGACGGCCUUCGGGUUGUAAACCUCUUUCAAUAGGGACGAAGCGCAAGUGACGGUACCUAUAGAAGAAGCACCGGCCAACUACGUGCCAGCCGCCGCCGUAA
rnacentral:rRNA from 1 species